rnacentral:rRNA from 1 species
GACGAACGCUGGCGGCGUGCUUAACACAUGCAAGUUGAACGGAAAGGCCCUGCUUUUGUGGGGUGCUCGAGUGGCGAACGGGUGAGUAACACGUGAGUAACCUGCCCUUGACUUUGGGAUAACUUCAGGAAACUGGGGCUAAUACCGGAUAGGAGCUCCUGCUGCAUGGUGGGGGUUGGAAAGUUUCGGCGGUUGGGGAUGGACUCGCGGCUUAUCAGCUUGUUGGUGGUGUAGUGGCUUACCAAGGCUUUGACGGGUAGCCGGCCUGAGAGGGUGACCGGCCACAUUGGGACUGAGAUACGGCCCAGACUCCUACGGGAGGCAGCAGUGGGGAAUAUUGCACAAUGGGCGGAAGCCUGAUGCAGCAACGCCGCGUGCGGGAUGACGGCCUUCGGGUUGUAAACCGCUUUCGCCUGUGACGAAGCGUGAGUGACGGUAAUGGGUAAAGAAGCACCAGCUAACUACGUG